UACAGAGGGUGCAAGCGUUAUCCGGAUUUAUUGGGCGUAAAGCGUUUCGUAGGUGGUUAGAUAAGUUACUCUUCAAAGACUACGGCUUAACCGGAGGAAGGGGGGUAAUACUAUCUGACUUGAAAUAUGGUGGGGCUUCUGGAACUGAUGGUGUAGUCGUGAAAUACGUUGAUAUCAUCAGGAACACCAGGGGCGAAGGCAGGAAGCUAAUCAUACUUUGACACUGAGGAACGACAGCUAGGGGAGCGAAAGGG
rnacentral:rRNA from 1 species